ACGACGCUGGCGGCGUGCCUAAUACAUGCAAGUCGAACGGUCUUUCUAUGGAAGCUUGCUUCCACUGAGAAGAUAGUGGCGAACGGGUGAGUAACACGUGGGUAACCUGCCCAUAAGAGGGGGGAUAACAUCCGGAAACGGGUGCUAAUACCGCAUAGUUUUCUUGAUCGCAUGAUUGAGAAAGGAAAGACGGCCUUUGUGCUGUCGCUUAUGGAGGGACCCGCGGCGUAUUAGUUAGUUGGUGAGGUAACGGCUCACCAAGACGAUGAUACGUAGCCGACCUGAGAGGGUGAUCGGCCACAUUGGGACUGAGACACGGCCCAAACUCCUACGGGAGGCAGCAGUAGGGAAUCUUCCGCAAUGGACGAAAGUCUGACGGAGCAACGCCGCGUGAGUGAAGAAAGGUUUUCGGAUCGUAAAACUCUGUUGUCAGAGAAGAACAAGUUGGAGAGUAACUGCUCCAGCCUUGACGGUAUCUGACCAGAAAGCCACGGCUAACUACGUGCCAGCCGCAGC
rnacentral:rRNA from 1 species